CUAGGUCUCCCCGUGUUCCCAGGUCUCCCCGUCUUCCUAGUGUCCUAGUGACAUGGGGACCUUGGGAUACAUGGGGACCAAGGGAGACAUGGGGCAUUGAGAUACUUAUACAUAGGAUCAGUGGGAGACCUGGGGACACUGGGAGACAUGGGGCACUGAGACACUGAUACAUAGGAACACUGAGACCUGGAGUAAUCGACACAUGGGGGCACUGAGUCAUGAGGGCACUGGGAGACAUGGGGGCACUGGGAGGAAUCCAUCUAUACAGCAGAUUUAAACUCUGUAGUUUUUUG